rnacentral:lncRNA from 1 species
GAGCAAAUAAAUUUAUUAUGUGCAUAAAAGGUACCUAAAGCUGAAGUCAUAAGGUAUAAUUUGAAGAAACUGUAGAAGAGACUCGCUUUUAGCUCUUUCAAGAUACUUAAUUGCUUCUUUUCCAACUUCACUAGGUAGUUGAAGGCAAAUCCAAUCGAGCAAUGAAUCCAAGUCCUUAGCAAAGUCGAGCAAGUACCAGUCCAACAGUUUAGGGAUUGCAAACUUUGUUGACGAAAUUCCAACUGUAGCCUGUAAGUACUCCUUCUUAGCAACUUCCAGUUCGGCCUCAACGUGAGAAGCAGUAUAUACUCGCACCUUAAUUUCAUUUGACGAAUCAAUAACCAGUAUUAUUUGAUGUUGAUAAGAGGAAAGCUAUAGUCAACUUUAAAGUGACUUUCAACUCAGGAGUCAAACCAUUGAAAACUUACAGCAGGAGAGGACCAGCUUCCACAUGAGAGGGCAAAUGUCACCAAUGGUUCAGAUAGUUCCAAUCCAAACAUGCUCCUGGCAGUCAUUUCAUCGUUCUUGGCACCCUUUGAAAAGGUCUGAUCAGAAAUAAAGUAUAAGAAACAUGACAAAGAAGAAUUGACUAUCAAGCUGACUAAUGUUUGCACUAAACUUAAAUGUGGUGCCACUUACAAAUUUGGAGUGGUAAGGCAAUCUGAGAAUGAAAUGUUCAAUAGUUAUUGCAUUUAGCAGGCGUCGCCCAACAUUUAUAGUUGCCUGUUUCAUCAAAAUUUCUUAUAAAACUACUGGUUACAUCUAAUAGAUUGAAUUGCUGUUAAACCAACAUGGCUGAAUAUGAAACAGAACACUAUCCUAACUAAGAAUGCAUGAAUUUCAACAAUAUUCUGAGGAAAUCAUGUGUUCUGGUACCUUUCUCAUCAAUUCCACAACCAUCUCCGGACUCUCAGGUACUCCAUGUUCUAAGAAUGCCUGAAACAACAUCAUGUAAUAAAUGAUGCCAUCUACUAGAAUAAACCAGUUAUGGAAACAGAAAUCAAAUGCAUUAAAUGCUAAAGUACCCAUGUGAAGGAAAUUAGUAUGAAAUACUUAGUUCGGAUUUUGAUACAUUUUAAACCAACAGUUAAUAUGUGAUAAAAGCCUAAAUAUUUUCUGUUUAUAUUGACAGAAUCCUUCUCAAUACAUACAUUCAUCAUGCAGGAAUUGUAGAUAUUUAUCCAAAAGGCAAGCUUCUCCUGAUGAUUUAGGUUCUGCAAGUUGGAGGCGGCAAGUCUUCCAAGGAGUAGUCUGAGAAUUCAACAUACAAAAUGAUCAUAAGUCCUUAGAAUUUUUACAUACAUUAUUAUAUUAUAUAUUAAAAUAAGAAGAAAAAUAUAACGACUUACUUGAGCCUUCGCAGCAGAAAUAAAGAAUUUGAAGUUCGAUUCAGAUUGAUUGAGCCAGCAUCAAUUGGAAACAAAUGCUUAUAAGGACCAAUAUCUCUCCUUCCAAAAUUCGAACAAAUACCAUACGGGUCCUGAAAUUUUGUUACAUCACUACUUCCUUGGGAGCCUAACAUUGAUAAUGAAGGAAAACUGUCAGCAGCAGAGUUUCUCUUUUUUGAGCUCAUUCUUAAGAAUAUGGUGGACAGACAUUUGACAAGUUCCUCGGAAACUUUAUUAGGGCCAUCAUUUGCCAGCGGUCUCUCUUCUGAAGUGCUAAGAUUCCGCGCUUCUGCACUAUCUAAGUCUCUCACUCUGCAUUCUAACUGAACAUGUAAAACAAGUCAAUACUAAUUUAACAGGUAAUAAGUCUACUGUAACUUGAUGGAAAUGAUAUUGUUGUUUCAUGCCUGCAAUUUUUGAGGGUCUAAACGUUUCUCUACAGGCUUUGAAUCAAUCAAAGGUCUCUUCACAGGAGUUUUCACUGUUGGGCUUUUAUCCACCAAGGAUUCCUUAUUGCUCUUUGUGGAAUUAGUACAAGAUUGGUUCUCUU